UGUUUGUUUGCUAUAUCUUGAAAUGGCCCUGCAAAGCUGUCCUUUGUGAAGGAAAAUUUGCAUCUGUAAAGAAUCUCUAUUAACAUAGCUACACUUUUUUCUUCUAGACCCUCCCAAUCCCAAAGAGAUUAAAAGUCUAGCACCUUUUAAAGAACUAAAUAGAAAACAUUUGUCAUCUAUUAUCUCUAAGGGUAGCCACUAUAAGACUUAAAAAGAACCUUGGUCUCCACAAUCUUUCCUCUUAACCUGAACAUUUCCUUUCUAUGAUCCCAGGUCUGCAGAUAAACUCAACCAAUUGUGAACCAGAGAAAGUUUAAAUUUACCUGUAGCCUAGUAAAUAGCUCCCCCACUCCCCCGCCCCACCAACACACACCAACUCCUGCUUCGAAUUGUCCCACGUUUCUGGACCAAACUAAUGUAUUUCUUAAAUAUAUUUGAUUGAUGUCUCAUGCCUCCCUAAAAUGUAUAAAACCAAGCUGCACCCUGACCACCUUGGGCACAUGUUCUCAGGACCAUCUGAGGGCUGUGUCACAGGCCAUGGUCACUCAUAUUUGGCUCAGAAUAAAUUUCUUCAAAUAUUUUACAUAGUUUGACUCCUUUUGUUGACAAUGAGGACUUAUUAAAACUUUUGACAGAUUGAUCAACGCCCCCAAAAAUCCCAAAACAGGAUCAGUAUCCACUCUACCUGCAUCAUCUCUAGUAUUAUCAUGACUCACUCUAAUGCACUUAAAUAUCCAAGAUCAAAAAGUACCUACUGAGUCAGCAGGUUUUCAUGUUACAGGUAUGUAUCUAUAGAGCAGACCAGUGACAUUCUUGACAAUCUCCAAAUUCAAAACAACAAAAAGACUUAUGAAGAGCAAGGUGCAAAUUGAAAAUAACAUCUCACUGUAAUAUCUGUGUGUAGGUAUAACUAGGCUCACUCACUAAGUUACUUACUCCCUCAUGCAUACAAUGAAGGACAAAUAUAAUUCAAAUUUAUACCUAACAAAACUACAAAAUAUUCCCUGUUGUGGACCUACAAAGUAAUUGGCAAUGGCUGGACAAUACACAAGACAGAUUUUUAUUCUUAUAUAAUUGGUAAGGUGUUGGGGCUCAGAAAUCAAUACCCCAAAAUAUGGCACUUUGUACAUGCUGAAUUGAAAAAGAAUCCUCAAGGUCUUUCUGAUCGUCCCUGAUCCCCCAACCCCAUGCCUCUCUCCCUUAGACUAGAAUGAAGUUGUUAUCUGAAGUUCCUUUAUUUGACUAAAGGCUGGACCUACUAAGGUGAACAAUUGUCUUUUCUUUCCUUCCCUGUUAUCUCAUUAUCAAUGCAGAAAAAAAAAGACCAAGAAUGUAACCACACCUGAAAAUAUCCCUUCACAAGAUAAUGUCUGUCUCAGAAUAAUUUAAAUUCCAAAAAGAACUACUUACGGGUUAAACUAUGUCAGGCCUCUGAGCCCAAGCCAAGCCAUCGCAUCCCCUGUGACUUGCACAUAUACGCCCAGAUGGCCUGAAGUAACUGAAGAAUCACAAAAGAAGUGAAUAUGCCUUGCCCCACCUUAACUGAUGACAUUCCACCACAAAAGAAGUGUAAAUGGCCGGUCCUUGCCUUAAGUGAUAACAUUACCUUGUGAAAGUCCUUUUCCUGGCUCAUCCUGGCUCAAAAAGCACCCCCACUGAGCACCUUGCGACCCCCACUCCUGCCCGCCAGAGAACAAACCCCCUUUGACUGUAAUUUUCCUUUACCUACCCAAAUCCUAUAAAACGGCCCCACCCCUAUCUUCCUUCACUGACUCUCUUUUCGGACUCAGCCCGCCUGCACCCAGGUGAAAUAAACAGCCAUGUUGCUCACACAAAGCCUGUUUGGUGGUCUCUUCACACGGACGCGCAUGAAAUUUGGUACCGUGACUCGGAUCGGGGGACCUCCCUUGGGAGAUCAAUCCCCUGUCCUCCUGCUCUUUGCUCCGUGAGAAAGAUCCACCUAUGACCUCAGGUCCUCAGACCGACCAGCCCAAGGAACAUCUCACCAAUUUUAAAUCAGGUAAGCGGCCUCUUCUUACUUUCUUCUCCAACCUCUCUGUCCCUCAACCACUUUCUCCUUUCCACUCUUCAAUCUCUCCCUUCUCUUAAUUUCAAUUCCUUUCAUUUUCUGGGAGACACAAAGGAGACACAUUUUAUCCGUGGACCCAAAACUCCGGUGCCGGUCACGGACUGGGAAGGCAGUCUUCCCUUGGUGUUUAAUCAUUGCAGGGACGCCUCUCUGAUUAUACACCCACGUUUCAAGGGUGUCAGACCACACAGGGACGCCUGCCUUGGUCCUUCACCCUUAGCGGCAAGUCCCGCUUUUCUGGGGAAGGGGCAAGUACCUCAACCCCUUCUCUCCUUGUCUCUACCCCUUCUCUGCUUUUCUGGGAGAGGGGCAAGUACCCCUCAACCCCUUCUCCUUCACCCUUAGCAGCAAGUCCUGCUUUUCUAGGGGGCAAGAACCCCCAAUCCCUUAUUUCUGCACCCCAACCUCUUAUCUCUGCACCCCAAUCCCUUAUUUCCACACCCCGACCUCUUAUCUCUGCGCCCCAACCCCUUUUCCCACUUUUCUGGAAGGUAAGAACCCCCUGAACCCCUUCCCUCCAUUUCUCUACUCUCUCUUUUCUCUAGGCUUGCUUCCUUCACUAUGGGCAACCUUCCACCCUCCAUUCCUCCUUCUACUCCCUUGGCCUGUGUUCUCAAAAACUUAAAACCUCUUCAACUCACACCUGACCUAAAACCUAAAUGCCUUAUUUUCUUCUGCAAUGCUGCUUGAACCCAAUACAAACUUGACAGUAGUUCCAAAUAGCCAGAAAAUGGCACUUUGAAUUUUUCCAUCCUGCAAAAUCUAAAUAAUUCUUGUCAUAAAAUAGGCAAAUGGUCUGAGGUGCCUGACAUCCAGGCAUUCUUUUACACAUCAGUCCCUUCCUAGUCUCUGUGCCCAGUGCAACUCGUCCCAAAUCUUCCUUCUUUCCCUCCUGCCUGUCCCCUCAGUACCAACCCCAAGCGUCGCUGAGUCUUUCUAAUCUUCCUUUUCUACAGACCCAGACCCAUCUGACCUCUCCCUUCCUCCCCAGGCUGCUCUUCGCCAGGCCGAGCUAUGUCCCAAUUCUUCCUCAGCCUCUGCUCCUCCACCCUAUAAUCUUUUCAUCACCUCCCCUCCUCACACCUGGUCCAGCUUACAGUUUCAUUCCAUGACUAGCCCUCCCCCACCUGCCCAGCAAUUUACUCUUAAAAAGGUGGCUGGAGCUAAAGGCAUAGUCAAGGUUAAUGCUCCUUUUUCUUUAUCCCAAAUCACAUAGCGUUUAGGCUCUUUUUCAUCAAAUAUAAAAAUCCAGCCCAGUUCAUGGCUCGUUUGGCAACAACCCUGAGACGCUUUACAGCCCUAGACCCUAAAAGGUCAAAAGGCCGUCUUAUUCUCAAUAUACAUUUUAUUACCCAAUCUGCUCCCGACAUUAAAUAAAACUCCAAAAACUGGAAUCUGGCCCUCAAACCCCACAACAGGACUUAAUUAACCUCACCUUCAAGGUGUACAAUAACAGAAAAAAGUUGCAAUUCCUUGCCUCCACUGUGAGACAAACCCCAGCCACAUCUCCAGCACACAAGAACUUCCAAACUCCUGAACCGCAGCAGCCAGGCAUUCGUCCAGAACCCCCUCCCCCAGGAGCUUGCUACACAUGCCAGAAAUCUGGCCACUGGGCCAAGGAAUGCCCGCAGCCCGGGAUUCCUCCUAAGCCGCAUCCCAUCUGUGUGGGACCCCACUGAAAAUCGGACUGUUCAACUCACCUGGCAGCCACUCCCAGAACCCCUGGAACUCUGGCCCAAGGCUCUCUGACUGCUUCCCAGAUCUUCUUGGCUUAGCGGCUGAAGACUGACACUGCCCGAUCACCUCGGAAACCCCCUAGACCAUCACAGACGCCGAGCUUCAGGUAACUCUCACAGUGGAAGGUAAGCCCGUCCCCUUCUUAAUCAAUAUGGAGGCUACCCACUCCACAUUACCUUCUUUUCAAGGACCUGUUUCCCUUGCCUCCAUAACUGUCGUGGGUAUUGACGGCCAGGCUUCUAAACCUCUUAAAACUCCCCAACUCUGGUGCCAACUUAGAAAAUACUCUUUUAAGCACUCCUUUUUAGUUAUCCCCACCUGCCCAGUUCCCUUAUUAGGCUGAGACACUUUAACUAAAUUAUCUGCUUCCCUGACUAUUCCUGGACUACAGCUAUAUCUCAUUGCCGCCCUUCUUCCCAAUCCAAAGCCUCCUUUGUGUCCUCCUCUUGUAUCCCCCCACCUUAACCCACAAGUAUAAGAUACCUCUACUCCCUCCUUGGUGACCGAUCAUGCACCCUUUACCAUCUCAUUAAAACCUAAUCACCCUUACCCCACUCAAAGCCAAUAUCCCAUCCCGCAGCACGCUUUAAAAAGAUUAAAGCUUGUUAUCACUCACCUGCUACAGCAUGGCCUUUUAAAGCCUAUAAACUCUCCGCACAAUUCCCCCAUGUUACCUGUCCUAAAACCAGACAAGCCUUACAAGUUAGUUCAGGAUCUCCAUCUUAUCAACCAAAUUGUUUUGCCUAUCCACCCUGUGGUGCCCAACCCGUACACUCUUUUGUCCUCAAUACCUUCCUCCACAACUCACUAUUCCAUGCUUGAUCUUAAAGAUGCUUUUUUCACUAUUCCCCUGCACCCCUCAUCCCAGCCUCUCUUCUUUCACUUAGACUGACCCUGACACCCAUUAGGCUCAGCAAAUUUCCUAGGCUGUACUGCCGCAAGGCUUCACAGGCAGCCCCCAUUACUUCAGUCAAGCCCAAAUUUCAUCCUCAUCUGUUACCUAUCUCGGCAUAAUUCUCAUAAAAACAUACGUGCUUUCCCUGCUGAUCGUGUCCGAUUAAUCUCCCAAACCUCAAUCCCUUACAAAACAACAACUCCUUUCCUUCCUAGGCAUAGUGUGGUCAGAAUUCUUACACAAGAGCCAGGACCACACCCUGUAGCCUUUCUGUGCAAAGAACUUGACCUUACUGUUUUAGCCUAGCCCUCAUGUCUGCGUGCAGCGGCUGCCGCUGCUUUAAUACUUUUAGAGGCCCUCAAAAUCACAGACUAUGCUCAACUCACUCUCUACACUUCUCAUAACUUCCAAAAUCUAUUUUCUUCCUCAUACCUGAUGCAUAUACUUUCUGCUCCCUGGCUCCUUCAGCUGUACUCACUCUUUAAGUCCCACAAUUACCAUUGUUCCUGGCCUGGACUUCAGUCUGGCCUUGCACAUUAUUCCUGAUACCACACCUGACCCCCAUGACUGUAUCUUUCUGAUCCACCUGAUAUUCACCCCAUUUCCCCAUAUUUCCUUCUUCUUUCCUGUUCCUCACCCUGAUCAUGCUUGAUUUAUUGAUAGCGGUUCCACCAGGCCUAAUCGCCACACACCAGCAAAGGCAGGUUAUACUAUAGUACAAGCCACUAGCCCCCCGCCUCUUAGAACCUCUCAUUUCCUUUCCAUCGUGGAAGUCUAUCCUCAAGGAAAUAACUUCUCAGUGUUCCAUCUGCUAUUCUACUACUCCUCAGGGAUUAUUCAGGCCCCCUCCCUUCCCUACACAUCAAGCUCCAGGAUUUGCCCCACCCAGGACUGGCAAAUUAGCUUUACUCAACAUGCCCAAGUCAGGAAACUAAAAUACCUCUUAGUCUAGGUAGACAUUUUCACUGGAUAGGUAGAGGCCUUUCCUACAGGGUCUGAGAAGGCCACCGCAGUCAUUUCUUCCGUUCUGUCAGACAUAAUUCCUCAGUUUAGCCUUCCCACCUCAAUACAGUCUGAUAACAGAUAAGCCUUUAUUAGUCAAAUCAGCCAAGCAGUUUUUCAGGCUCUUAGUAUUCAGUGAAACCUUUAUAUCCCUUACGGUCCUCCGUCUUCAAGAAAAGUAGAAUGGACUAAAGGCCUUUUAAAAACACACCUCACCAAGCUCAGCCACCAAAAAGGACUGGACAAUACUUUUACCACUUUCCCUUCUCAGAAUUCAGGCCUGUCCUCGGAAUGCUACAGGGUACAGCCCAUUUAAGCCCCUGUAUAGACGCUCCUUUUUAUUAGGCCCCAGUCUCAUUCCAGACACCAGACCAACUUAGACAGUGCCCCAAAAAACUUGUCAUCCCUACUAUCUUCUGUCUAGUCAUACUCCUAUUCACCGUUCUCAACUACUCAUACAUGCCCUGCUCUUGUUUACACUGCCAGUUUACACUGUUUUUCCAAGCCAUCACAGCUGAUAUCUCCCGGUGCUAUCGCCAAACUGCCACUCUUAACUCUUGAACUAAAUAAAUAAUCUUUGCUGGCAGGACUAUGCUGAAUCUCCUUAGGCACUCUCUAAUCAGAUGCCCUAGGUCCUCCCAAUUCUUAGACCUUUUAUACCUGUCUUUCUCCUUCUGUUAUUCCAUUUAGUUUCUCAAUUCAUCCAAAACCGUAUCCAGGCCAUCACCAAUCAUUCUAUACGACAAAUGUUUCUUCUAACAUCCCCACAGUAUCACCACUUACCUCAAGGCCUCCCUUCAGCUUAAUCUCUCCCACUCUAGGUUCCCACGCCGCCCCUAACCCCACUCGAAGCAGCCCUGAGAAACAUCGCCCAUUCUCUCUCCAUACCACCCCCCAAAAAUUUUCGCUGCCCCAACACUUCAACACUAUUUUGUUUUAUUUUUCUUAUUAAUAUAAGAAGGCAGGAAUGUCGGACCUCUGAGCCCAAGCCAAGCCAUCGCAUCCCCUGUGACUUGCACAUAUACGCCCAGAUGGCCUGAAGUAACUGAAGAAUCACAAAAGAAGUGAAUAUGCCUUGCCCCACCUUAACUAAUGACAUUCCACCACAAAAGAAGUGUAAAUGGCCGGUCCUUGCCUUAAGUGAUAACAUUACCUUGUGAAAGUCCUUUUCCUGGCUUAUCCUGGCUCAAAAAGCACCCCCACUGAGCACCUUGCGACCCCCCCACUCCUGCCCACCAGAGAACAACCCUCCUUUGACUGUAAUUUUCCUUUACCUACCCACAUCCUAUAAAACAGCCCCACCCCUAUCUCCGUUCGCUGACUCUCUUUUCGGACUCAGCCCGCCUGCACCCAGGUGAAAUAAACAGCCAUGUUGCUCACACAAAGCCUGUUUGGUGGUCUCUUCACACGGACACGCAUGAAACUCUGUUCCUCAAUUCAUUCAUUCUCCCUAGUAAUCAUUUAUUGCCCCCCACCAACAGAAUUUUUCUCCCAUUCCCAUAACCUGCUUUGCCAGAAUCCAAGCCCCCAUUCUUUCAGUAACCUCAAGAUGGUAUAUAAAUUUCUGCACCCCAUUGGGAGUGGAUCUUCAUUUUGAAGGCUCCCAUGUACAUGUUAAAUACAUUUGUAUGUCUUUUCUCCUACUAAUCUGCCUCUUGUCAGUUAUUUUCAGAGAACUUUCAGAGGGUAAAGAAGUUUUCCCUUGGCCCCAACAUUGUUCAGUUACUGAAUACUGAUUAACCAUUCAUUAUAAUUUUUUUAAAAAGACCUUUGUGAAAGAAUAGAAAUAUCCUAAAUACUCACAGUUUGUUUAUUGUGUUGCCAGUGGAGGGUCUUGACUACGAGUUGUCCAGGUCCUUCGCAUUUUAAACAAAUAAUUGAACAAAACGCACUAAGUAGCAGAGGCAUGAAAUGCGGGGAUGAAGCAGCGAAAGCAGGAAUUUAUGAAAUCGAGAAAGCACUCCGCAGGGUGGCAGUGGGCCCGAGCAAGUGGCUUAAGAGCCCAGUUACAAACUUUUCCAGGCUUUAAGUACCCCCUUUGAGGUUCUUAUCGGCUACCCCUUAUCUGGAUGAAAGAUUUGGUCUGUGGCUAAAGGCUGAGGUGAAUUGGUGCCCUAUGCAGAUAAAGGGAUGGUCUCUGGUUGGCCUGCGGCCAGUCUAAGGCACUCUCCUUUCCCAUCUGAGAUGUGGUGGAAGGGGAAGGAUUUUAGGGAGAGUAGCCUUUGAUCCCUUGUUACUAGGCAUGGGGAAAUUGGGUUUUUCUAUUUUGGUUUAGCUUUAAGAAGUUUGUGUUAAUUGGCCUUAGAUUGCCUGCCCCCAGACCCAGGUGUUUUCCUUUUGAUCCAGCUUUGGGAAGUCAGUGCAAAUUGGCCUUAGAUUUCCUGCCCCCAGACCUUGGUGUUAUUUCUUUUAGGAAGUUAGCACAAAUUGGCCUUAAGUUCCCUGUCUCCAGACCCUAUUCUCCUGCCUCAAUUGUACACGUUGAGAUAGACUUCUGAUAUUUUUGUGGCCUAUUUCUCACUGGAGCACACACUUUUAACUUGGUUGCUGUAAACCAAAACUAAAAUUCUAAGCCCCUCAACCAUCUGAAUUGACCUCUCCUCUUGGCCAAGGGAAUUCCAAAGUUAACCUGAAAAACUAGAUCAGGCCAUGAUGGGAAGCUGGGGUUGGAUAUGCCACAUUAUUCCCUCCUCCCUUUUGGAAUUCAGGCACAGCUGACCAGCGUUAACAUUAAAACAGAUCUUAAGACUGACAAAGCAGACUCUUUAUAGCAAUGAGACACCAAAUUCCAGCCUGACUCUAGUAUAGCAUCACAUGAAAGAUACGAGACCCUGAAAUAAGUCAAAGUAUUUUACCCCAAAUAUGUUUCUUUGUCAUAUCUUGAAAUAGUCCUGCAAAGCCAUCUCUUGAGGGGAAAAUAUACAUUCUGAAGAGAAUCAUCUGUCUUUUCCAGGACUUUUUCCUUGUCCAGGAGAGAAUCAACUCUGAUAAGAAACAUUUACAAUCUAUUUUCUCUGAAGCUUGCUACCUGGAGGCUUCCCCUAUGUAACAGGAACCUUGGUCUCCACAACCCGUUAUCUCAAUCCAGACAUCCCCUUCUAUUGAUUCUGGGUUUUUAGACAAUAACUUACCUCUUUCAACCAAUUGCCAAUCAGAAAAUCUUUGAAUCUACUCAUGACCUGGAAGUCCCCCAUUGCUCUGAGUUGUCCCACCUUUCUGUACUGAACUGUUGCAGGAAAAGGGUCCUGAUACAGAUUUCAAGAGAUGGCUCUUGGAUCUUGCACAAGAAAGAAUCUGGGGCAAGUCCACAGAGUAAAAUGAAAGCAAGUUUAUUAAGAAAGUAAAGGAAUGGAAGAACAGCUACUCCACAGACAGAGCAGGGCAUUCUCAAAAGCAAGAGGAGGAACACGCUCACCUUAGCCUUCUUUAGUGGAGUUGAGGCAUUCCACAUGUUCCAUCAUAGCUGAUCCAGAUACAGAAACUACAAAGAAAUACAGUGCAUAUGAAGCAACCCAAGAGGACUUAGGAGAAGAGAGGCAAGCUUGUGAAUAACCAGGACUUUACCAUGAAGAGAGCAACUCACUGUAUUAAGCAAUAUUUAUUGAACCUACCGUUAAAAGAAAAACCUUAGACAAAUUAAAUUUAGCAGAGUUUAAUUGAGCAAAGAAUGAUUCGUGAAUUGGGAAGCCUCUGAACCAAAAUAGGUUCAGAGAGGAUCCAGCCUGCCUUAUGGUGGAAGAAGAUUUGUGGACAGAAAAAGGAAAGUGAAGUACAGAAAUGGAAGUGAGGUAUAGAAACAGCCAGAUUGGCUACAGCUUGCUGUUUGUCUUAUUUGAACAUGGUUUGAACAGUUGGCUGUCCUCUAUUGGCUAAAACUCAGGGACUGGCACAAGAGUAGGUUACAGUCUGUUUACACAUCAAGUUAGGUUAUAGUUCACUGUGUAUGGAGAAACCUUUAAAAUAUGUAAAGAGGUGGCUUUUGGCUAAACUUAAUUAAACACUACUAUGUGAAACAUUGUGUAAUACUGAAUUCUAUUAUAUUCUUUAAAACCUUUCUUCUGCCUUUUUUUUUUUUUUUUUUUUCUGAGACGGAGUCUUGCUCUGUCACCCAGGCUGGAGUGUAGUGGCACGAUCUUGGCUCACUGCAACCUUUGCCUCCCAGAUUCAAGCAAUUCUCCUCCCCCAGCCUCCUGAGUAGCUAGGUUUACAGGAGCCCACCACUGCGUCCAGCUAAUUUUUGUAUUUUUAGUAGAGACAGGGUUUCACCACGUUGGCCAGGCUGGUCUCGAACUCCUGACCUCGUGACCCUCCCACCUCGGGCUCCCAAAGUGCUGGGAUUACAGGUAUGAGAAACUGUGCCCAGCCUCUUCUGCCUUUUUUUAUUGUAGGAAAAUGUAUGUAAAUUUACAUAAAAUUUACGAAAAUUUACAUCAAAAAUUUACAUAACUUAAACUCACCAUUUUAACCAUUCUAAAGUAUAAAAUUCAGUGACAUUUAGUACAUUUACAGUGUUGUGUAAUCAUCACCCCUAUCUAGAUUCAAAAUAUUUCCAUCGCCCUCUAAAACAACUCCCAAGAUACUAUUUGCUCCACUAUUCAGAAAAUAUCAUGCAAAGGAAAUCAAACAAAAUGCAGCCUUUUUUGUCUAGCUUUUUUCACUUAGCAUGUUUUUAAAGUUCAUCCACAUUUCAGCAUGUGUUUUUUUUUUUUUUUAGACAGAGUUUCGUUCUUGUUGCCCAGGCUGGAGUGCAGUGGUGCAAUCUCAGCUCACUGCAACCUCCAUCUCCCAGGGUCAAACGAUUCUCCUACCUCAGCCUCCCAAGUAGCUGAGAUUACAGGCAUUUGCCUCCAUGCCCAGCUAAUUUUGUAUUUUUAGUAGAGGUGGGGGUUCACCAUGUUGGUCAGGCUGGUCUUGAAUUCCUAACCUCAGGUGAUCCACCCACUUCAGCCUCCCAAAGUGCUGGGAUUACAGGCGUGAGCCACUGUGCCCGGCCCACUUCAUUUCUUUUUAAGACCAAAUGAUAUUUUAUUAAAUAGAUAAACCUUAUUUUUGUCUAUCCAUUUAUAAGUUAAUGAACAUUCACUUUUUGACUAUUGUGAAUACUGCUCUUAUGAAUACCUUUGUACAAUGUUUUGGAUUUUUUUCUUUUUUCUUUCUUUUUUUUCCUUUGUGUUUACCCUGUCAGAACUAAGCAGAGGGAAGCAGAAAAAGCAUAGGCCAGGACAAGUUGUACAAGUUUUCGUAUGAACAAAAAGACAGAGAUAACAAGUAUUCGCAAGGAUUUGAAGAAAAGCAAACUCUUAUAAACUCUUGGUGGAAAUAUAAACUGAUAUAGCCAUUAUUAAUAGUAUAGAGGUUCCUCAUAAAACUAAAAAUAGGACUACCAUAUGAUUCAGCAAUUCCACCACUGGGUACAUAUCUAAAGGACAUGAAAUCUGUGUAUCUGUGCUCUUAUAUUCAUUGUAGCAUUCUUCACAAUAAAUAAGAUCCAAACUAAGUGUCGAUCAAUAGAUGAAAAUAUGAUAUGUGUGUGUACAUGUAGUAAUAUGUAUGUAUGUAUGCAUAAUAUAUAUAUAAUAUGUAUAAAUGUCAUAAAUACAUAGAUAUACAGAAUGAAAUGAUAUUCAGCCAUAAAAUAGAAGGAAAUCUUUCCAUUAGUGACAAUGUGGGGAUGAACCUGGAGGACAUCAUACUAAGUGAAAUAAGCCAGACACAGACAAAUACUGCGUGAUCUCACUUAUAUAUGAGGUCUUUUUCUUAACUCAGUAGUUACUUGGUUGCUGUAAACCUUUGUUUAUUUUUAAGAGUUCCAAAAAGGUUGAUUUUCACAGUUCUUGCUCAAUUUUUUCUGAGUUUCAUUGAGGAUAUGAGCCCUUGGAGCUCUCUCCUCCACCAUUUGAACUCUCUGAUCUUUUUGUACAAGUAGCCGAUGGUUGACAAGAUAUGAUCUGGAGGGAGAGCACAAGGAAUGUUCAGAGAUUAUAUGACUUACUUUUGCUUGUACAACAUUUUAGCACUUACGGAGCAUUUUCAUGUGGUGAAUACAUAAAGAAGUUUGCCACAUGUGACCGUCAUUAUAGUUCAUAUUUUUGAAGGUAAAGUCAUCCUUUUUGACAUUAAUAAUGAAGGCUUAAGAGGAAAGUGUGAGUUUACUAGAGAAUCUAUACAUAGAAAAAGAUCAAAAGUCUAGUUAGAUUUGCAUGAGAAUCUAGAGGUAUAAAAAGUAUUGUUUUCGAUUGAGGGUCUCUGGAACCAGGUGCUAAGAUUUGGAAGGGAGGAAAAGGAUGGAGAAUUCACACAGGAUGAAGUCUAACUGUGGUGCAGACCCCAUAAACUUUUAAUCAUUUCCACCAGGAGCUAUGUAGCUUAUGUUUGUCCCAGCGUGGACCAGAAUGAUUGGAAGUUUACACCCAACUUCAGUCACUGCAUAUUCCACUGGAAGCAUAUGACCUCACACGGGAUGAUUCCCUGUGGUUGAGGCACCAGCUAGAGGAGUUGACGGUUAGGGCAACAAGGGUGACAGUUUGGAUGUGUGUCCCCUCCAAAUCUCAUGUUGAAAUGUGAUCCCCAAUGUUGGAGGUGGGGUCUGGUGGGAAUUGUUGGAUCAUGGGGGUGGAUCCCUCAUGAAUGGCUUAGUGCCAUCCCUUUUGUGAUGAGUGAGUUCUCACUCAGUUAGUUCACAGGAUGUCUGGUUGUUUCAGAGUGUGGCAAUUCCUCCUCCUCUCUUUCUUGUUCCCUCUUGCCACGUGAUAUGCUGCCUCCCCAUUUGCCUUCUGCCAUGAUUGUAAGCUCCCUGAGGCCCUAACCAGGAGGAGAUGCCAACAACAUGCUUCUUGUAUUGCCUACAGAACAGUGAACCAAUUAAACCUCUUUUCCUUGUAAAUUACCAAGCCUCAGGUAUUUUUUUAUAGCAACACAAAACAGCUUAAUACAAUAUUCUUCUUUGAAGGCCUUGAAUGACACAUCUUUGAGUCUACCAUAAGUAAAAUUUGUAGUCUGUAUUGUGUACGUGUUAAUAUGGAUGGCACUAUUCCACAUGCAAAUAGCAUUCUGAGGAGAGAUGUAUAAUACAAACUUUAAGUUGAUGUACAGACAUUAAAA
rnacentral:lncRNA from 10 species